GAGUUUGAUCCUGGCUCAGAAUGAACGCUGGCGGCAUGCCUAACACAUGCAAGUCGAACGAAGGCUUCGGCCUUAGUGGCGCACGGGUGCGUAACGCGUGGGAAUCUGCCCUCAGGUUCGGAAUAACAGCGAGAAAUUGCUGCUAAUACCGGAUGAUAUCGCGAGAUCAAAGAUUUAUCGCCUGAGGAUGAGCCCGCGUAGGAUUAGCUAGUUGGUGUGGUAAAGGCGCACCAAGGCGACGAUCCUUAGCUGGUCUGAGAGGAUGAUCAGCCACACUGGGACUGAGACACGGCCCAGACUCCUACGGGAGGCAGCAGUGGGGAAUAUUGGACAAUGGGCGAAAGCCUGAUCCAGCAAUGCCGCGUGAGUGAUGAAGGCCUUAGGGUUGUAAAGCUCUUUUACCCGGGAUGAUAAUGACAGUACCGGGAGAAUAAGCUCCGGCUAACUCCGUGCCAGCAGCCGCGGUAAUACGGAGGGAGCUAGCGUUAUUCGGAAUUACUGGGCGUAAAGCGCACGUAGGCGGCUUUGUAAAGUUAGAGGUGAAAGCCUGGAGCUCAACUCCAGAAUUGCCUUUAAGACUGCAUCGCUUGAAUCCAGGAGAGGUGAGUGGAAUUCCGAGUGUAGAGGUGAAAUUCGUAGAUUUCGGAAGAACACCAGUGGCGAGGCGGUCACUGGGACCUGGGUAUUUGACGGCUGAGGGUGCGAAAAGCGUGGGGGAGCAAACCGGAUUUAGAUACCCCUGGUAGUCA
rnacentral:rRNA from 1 species